GGCUCGGCUCGUUUAAAAAUCGAAUCGAGCCGAGCCAGCUCAUUUUUCUUAACAAGCUGGAAAGUUGGGCUCGGGCUCGGCUCGUCAAAAGCUCGAGCCAGCUCGUGGCUCGUCGAGCCGGCUCGUUUGUUUAAAAAGAUUGUAUUUUUGUAUUUUUUAACACAAAAAUAUAUAAAAAACCAAAAAACAAUAAAUAAAACAUUAUUUAGGCUAAUAGAAUAGUAAUUUUGCGCAAACUAUAAAUCAAACGAACAAGAAAAUAUUCUAUGUUACUUGCCAUAAUAUAUUUUUUUUAAAAUCAAUAUUACUAAUUAAGACUAUAGCUUAACAAUCUAUCUCUUUCGAUAAAAAAUAACCAUGUUACUAAUUAAACAACAUUUCUUAAAUAUAUUAGAAUACAAACAUAUAUAAUUUGGGGUUUAAUUUAAACGAGCGAGCUAACGAGCCAACUACCGAGCGAGCCACGAAUCGAACCUACCUUGGCUCGGGCUCGGCUCGUUUACAAACCGAUCCGAGCCAGCUCGUUUAAAACCGAGCUGACUUCGAACUUUUUUCGAGCGAGAGCCCCGAGCCACGGGCUUUUUGGACAGCCCUAAUAAACACCACCAACUUUGGACUUAAAACAUAGAUUAAAUCAUAAAACCAACAACUGAAAUAAAAUUCAAAUUCAAGUGCCUAAUAAAACCAAAUCAAAACCCUAAAUUUAAAAAAAUAUAUAUAAAAAAAAAAAAAAAAAAAAAAAAAAAAAAACAUACCAUGUGAGGAUACUUUUCUUGAUCAACAACUCUGGUGUUCUCGAGCUUAAUAUUAAGGUACUGAUCGACCGAAUGAAGAGUUCCUUGUAUCGCCAGAUCGUUCUUCAGUUCCACUGUGACUUCUCGGCCCACUAAAUCCUUGAAGUACGAGAAGAACAACUGUAAUAGUUGAACACGAACAUAGAUUCAUCAUAAGAAUGUAUAGCAAAAGAUGAUUUUUGAAAGUAGAAACGAAGAUUGUUGCAGAUCGGUAGUCAUACCAUUUUCUAGGGUUUGUUUUUUCCCGCUUUAAGGUGACGUUACAGAAUGAAUGAGGAGAGCGUAUGAGAGUGUCACUAAAUUUAUAACAUAUAAACCCGGAAAUAGUAUUCGGGUCGGUAAUUGAGUUAAAAAAAUGUUAUUAGUGUUGAGUCGAUUAGCCGAAUUUUGUUUUUUAUUGUGAACAUGAUGUUCUGUUUUGGUGUUUCGAUGGUUGUUUGAGCGACUAAAAAGAUUCGAUUUGGUUAAUAUGAUUUGAUGUUUUAUUUUUGAGUAAACUGCAAUUUUACCCCCUGAGGUUUGGGGUGAUUGGCAUGUCUACCCCCUAAGGAAAUAAUUGCAAUUUUAACCCCCACUGUUCACCCUUAUGUCGCAUGUUUACCCCCCGGCGUUAGUUUUGAUUAACAGUCAACAUAAUAAGGUAAUGGUCAAAGGGUAAAAUAGUCAUUUUGCUAUUAAUGUGAAGCUUGUUCUCUACAACAUCCCUAUAAGUAACAUAAAGAAGCAGAAUUACCCCCCCCCCCACCUUCCCACCCACCAUCAGUCAUCUUCUCCGGCGACAGGCUUCACCGGCGGCGAUCAGUGAUUCUCCUCCGAUCAGUCUUCUCCUCCGGCGAUCAGGGAUCUCCUCCGAUCAGUCUUCUCCUCCGGCGGCAACAACUCCUCCGCUAUCUCCUCCGAUCAGUCUUCUCUACAAAAUGCCGGUUGUGUGUUGGCUAAUCGCUAUCUCCUCCGCCACACCGCAGGUAUAAUCGGCCAUUGUUAGUUAAUCAGGGUCAGAUUUAGUCAUUAUCAUGUUAUAAACAGGGUUAGGGUCUGAUUUGGUUCACUAUUGGUUUUUUUACAGUUGACCUGACGAUGAGCUUAUCAAGCUCAUCAUUGGUGGUCCACCUGGUGGUCUCCGUGUUUGGGAGGCAUGUCCUCAACUUCCAUUAUCCACCGGAGAGUUGAGCGGAUGAUAAGAUAGUAGUUAUGUAGGAAUAGUUGUAUUUUGUAGGUUAAGUUGUAGGUUAACUUAACUUUGAAGUAGGAUAAUCCCAGAAGUGUUGAUGUUUUGAUGUUAACUUAACUUUGAAGUAGGAAUGGAUUACAUUUUGUCCAUUUGA
rnacentral:lncRNA from 1 species